GAAGGGCGUUUGUGAUUGGUGGGUUCUGCCGCGGCCGGGAAGUUCGAACAGAAGUCUGGGGAAGAGCCGGCGAAGAGCAAAGAGAUAAUACAGUACUCCCAGCUAUAGCAAGCGGCAGUUAUGGAGCAUGCGCAGCAGCAGGGGCGGCCGCAGGUCGCCGUUCAAUAAUACUCAAGGGAUUUGUACAGCCCUGUAGGAGACACCUCCAGAGAAAGUAACAGCUCUCAAUUGAUUAGCUGAGGAGACCGAUUUUGUAAAUCACUACUUUUCUAACAACACUGGCACAGAUGGCCAAGCAUUCUCCCUUUUCUCAGAGCUGGUUUUCCAUCCCGGAAAGAGGUCUUACAUAUACAAAGUUACUCUAAUCAGUUGUAAGCCUCAGGGGCUGGAUCCUGACAUGAACCAGACACCUCCAGAAUUCUAUCCCAAGCAAAAGAUUAUUUCAAGGCCAGAACUCACUCCCUGCUGGAGACUGACUACAAGAUCCACUGAGAUUGAUGUGUAACCUGAUUGGGCCCACAGUGAUGCUAGCCCCUUCACCAGAUGGAACAAUAAUUCCAGACAAGCCAUCAGAGCAGAGAGCAGAGAAGAGGAGAAGCAGCUGGAUGUCAGAGACUGCAGUUUGACGUUGGAGAAAAGCAGCUUGACUUCAGAGGGACAGCUUGACAGCAUGGAUUCAGAGAGGAGAAGAUCACCUUCCUGCUCCGUCCCCUUUCCAGCUCCCUUUCCCACUGAGAGCCACUUACACAGGCAAUAAAAUCCUCUGCAUUCACCACCCUU
rnacentral:lncRNA from 1 species